rnacentral:rRNA from 1 species
UACAGAGGGGGCAAGCGUUAUUCGGAAUUAUUGGGCGUAAAGGGCGCGUAGGCGGCCUGGCAAGUGGAAGGUGAAAUCCCUCGGCUUAACCGAGGAACUGCCCUCCAAACUGCCAGGCUUGAGGUCGGGAGGGGGAAGCGGAAUUCCGGGUGUAGUGGUGGAAUACGUAGAUAUCCGGAGGAACACCAGCGGCGAAGGCGGCUUUCUGGUCCGAUACUGACGCUGAGGUGCGAAAGCGUGGGGAGCGAUCCGG